rnacentral:RNase_P_RNA from 1 species
GGGAAACACAGGGGAUUCGCCUCGAUAUCGAUAAAUUCACAUAAAAAUUGUGUCUGUUUUUUUCGGUAUCGGGGAGGAAAGUCCGGACUCUCACGGACCGGCGUAUCUGGUAACGCCAGAAUCCCGCAAGGGAAUGGAAAGUGGCACAGAAACUAAACCGCCUGAAUCCACAAUUUGUUCUUUUUGAGGUGGGCAGAAAAUUUGUGAUUUUCGAUUGGCAAUUGGGGUGAAAUUUGGCAGGCGGAGUGGAUGAUGCUUUCUGCACGAUGUAGAGUUUAAAAUUGUGGAGCAAGGCAAGGGUGAAAAGUGAGGGAUUAAGCCCCCUUUUCUCCGAAAGUUAAAAAUUUCGGGGAGCCAAACCCUGCGCGAGAGCAAGGUCGAAUAGGGAGGCUGGAAUGGUUCUUUCCGCACCUCCGGGUGGACCGCAGGAGCAUCGAGGCAACUCGAUGCCAAGAUAGAUGAAUCCCACCCCGAAUUUUCGGGGGACAGAAUCCGGCUUAUGUGUUUCCCGAUU